CGGGGCCGUGGCACUGUAUGAGA
rnacentral:miRNA from 1 species